rnacentral:lncRNA from 1 species
AGAACGCGCGGGUCUCUACUUCCUGUAGUGGGCGUGGUUUUCUAAAUAUAUGUAUUACAGGUGAUAUUAGUUCAUCUGCGUAUGCAAUACGACAGUUCGUCAGCGGUGUUUUUUUUUUUUUAUUUUUUAUUAUUUAAUACUACACUGAUCACUUAUUGUACUUCCAGACGGAGAAGGUGUUACCGGAAAUAUCGCGGAAAUGGCGGGAAAACUGAAAGCUGUAGAAAUGAGUUCUAUUUUGCAGAGGCUUAAUAGCAUCAACAGUGUCCUUGACUCCAAUGUGGCAGCACUCGUAAGGAGCCAGGAGCAGCUCGGCAAAGCAGAAGAAACCCAGAAACACUUCAAUAAGAGUCUAAAACCAUUGUUUGAUGCCUUUGUACCACAAGAAGAACCGGCUUCAUCAUCGGCAACGCUUAAGUGAGAAGUCCGAGUUGGAAACAUUUUGGAAAUUGAUUUUCAUCACCCCCCCCCCCCGUUUUUCUUUACAUGGGAAAUCAAAUGUAAUGCUAAUAAAACUAUGUGCACAAGUUGCUCGUGUUACCA